GGUACGGUAGCCAAGUGGUCUAAGGCCGCGGUUUGCAAAACCGCUAUUCGCGGGUUCGAAUCCCGCUCGUACCU
rnacentral:tRNA from 1 species